rnacentral:rRNA from 1 species
UCAUGCGGCAGCUACCAUGCAGUCGACGAUGAACCGCUUCGGUGGUGGAUUAGUGGCGAACGGGUGAGUAACACGUGGGCAAUCUGCCCUUCACUCUGGGACAAGCCCUGGAAACGGGGUCUAAUACCGGAUAACACUCUGUCCCGCAUGGGACGGGGUUGAAAGCUCCGGCGGUGAAGGAUGAGCCCGCGGCCUAUCAGCUUGUUGGUGGGGUAAUGGCCUACCAAGGCGACGACGGGUAGCCGGCCUGAGAGGGCGACCGGCCACACUGGGACUGAGACACGGCCCAGACUCCUACGGGAGGCAGCAGUGGGGAAUAUUGCACAAUGGGCGAAAGCCUGAUGCAGCGACGCCGCGUGAGGGAUGACGGCCUUCGGGUUGUAAACCUCUUUCAGCAGGGAAGAAGCGAAAGUGACGGUACCUGCAGAAGAAGCGCCGGCUAACUACGUGCCAGCAGCCGCGGUAAUACGUAGGGCGCAAGCGUUGUCCGGAAUUAUUGGGCGUAAAGAGCUCGUAGGCGGCUUGUCACGUCGGAUGUGAAAGCCCGGGGCUUAACCCCGGGUCUGCAUUCGAUACGGGCUAGCUAGAGUGUGGUAGGGGAGAUCGGAAUUCCUGGUGUAGCGGUGAAAUGCGCAGAUAUAGGG